ACGGGAGGCAGCAGUGGGGGAUAUUGCACAAUGGGGGAAACCCUGAUGCAGCGACGCCGCGUGAGUGAUGAAGUAUUUCGGUAUGUAAAGCUCUAUCAGCAGGGAAGAAAAUGACGGUACCUGACUAAGAAGCUCCGGCUAAAUACGUGCCAGCAGCCGCGGUAAUACGUAUGGAGCAAGCGUUAUCCGGAUUUACUGGGUGUAAAGGGAGCGUAGACGGUGACGCAAGUCUGAAGUGAAAGGUGUGGGCUCAACCCGCAAACUGCUUUGGAAACUGUGUGACUAGAGUGUAGGAGAGGUAAGUGGAAUUCCUAGUGUAGCGGUGAAAUGCGUAGAUAUUAGGAGGAACACCAGUGGCGAAGGCGGCUUACUGGACGAUAACUGACGUUGAGGCUCGAAAGCGUGGGGAGCAAACAGGAUUAGAUACCCUGGUA
rnacentral:rRNA from 1 species